CCCAAGUUCUCCUUCGACAGCUUCUUUCCUGUCUGAUUUUCUCCGGUGCGAAUUUCUUCUAAUGUUCCGUCUGAAACCAAUCUUCGAUUGACGAUAAAGCGAAUCGCAAGAUCUCCUCGGUUUUGAAUUCCAUUACUUUGAUAGAGAAAAUCGAUCAGCCGGCCGGAUUAAAGAAAGUGAUUAGGUCAGAUUUGAUACUUUGAAAAGGUAUUCCUAACAACAAUUAGUAAGCUUCCCAAGGUAAUUCAAUUUAGUUUUUCUUCUUUUUAGUUUACAUUUUCAUUUAUUUUUUUUCUGAAGUUGUGGGUUAUAUUUUUUUUUCAGUAAUAGUAGAUCACAAGAUAAUGAUGGUUUUUGUUUUUGAUGUAUUGGUUUUGUGAUUGGUCUUUAUGGGUUCAAUACAGAGAAAUCAACGGCAACCUUUCGUUUGUAAGGUUAAAUGUGUCAUACCCCUUAACAAGAUUAGUUUGUGAAUUUGUAUGUUUUUUUCAUGGAGGAAAAAAGUGGCGUCGCAACGUCUAUAAUGGAAGGAGUGUUAUCUGUCAUACUGCUAUCAAGUGUUUGUUUACAAAGUUAGUUUCAUUUCCCUGAAAUGUUGCUCUAUUUUGGUGUACUGACCAUCUUCAAUUAUCUCCCUCUUAAAGGUCGUAGAAUGGAAAAUCUAUCGAACAUUUCUACUUACGGAAUCUGACAUUGAAUUCCAUCUAUCUCCUUCUUUAAGUGUGUAUUACUUAUAUGUUUCUCUGCUGUUUAUGUAAUCUCAUUUUCAGUAUCUUUGUAUGAGUUAUUUGUAUGGAUCUUCGACAGGUAUGAUAGAUUGCAACCUGAGGCUAACAUGAAAGCGCAAGGCUGUAGAUAUAAGCCAUAACUCUUUGUGUGUUUGUUAGUUGGGAAAUACAGUUCCAACGUGUUAGUUGUGCUAAGGAAAAUGACUGGAUUUUAAAGUAGCAGGAAGUUGACGCUGUUCUUCAUGUUUGGUGGUGAGUACUAAUAAGCCAAAGGGAACGAGCUCGAGUCUUAUAUCUAUAUGUAAAAUAUUGAUUGAUAAGAGUGUGAUGGCAGAUAAACUUUUUAUUAGUUUGGUUACUGUAAAGAGAUCAGUGGUAUUAAUGAAUAAAACAUCUUUAUUCAAAAGUACCCUUCAAGGCAUUUUAAGAUGGAUCAUCCAAAAAAAUGUUAGGCAGGUGCUUCUGUUCUUCAAAUCCUUAGAUUCAAGCAGCAUGGAAAUAGCGCCGAUGCUGUGCUAUGCAGAGAAUUAAAAAUUAAGCUAGAAACUAAUCCAGAAUUGGCAUGUGCUUGCAUGACACGCUAAACAAAUGGUCACCAGAAUGAAGGCGAGCAUUCGACGUGCAACACACGUGCACUCAACUUGUAGGGGUUGAAGUAGCAGAGAGAUUCGCAUAUUACGGCACUUCCACAUAUCUCACUAAGGUAAUAGGGGAAUCUACAUCAACAACCGCAAAGAAUGUAAAUAUUUGGUUUGGUGUAGUCUUUCUGCCAUUAUUGGGAGCUUUCAUGGCUGAUUCCUAUUUGGGUCGUUUUAAUACAAUUCUCAUUUUUUCCAUCAUUUAUAUUAUGAAAGGAAAGAAAAAUAGCAUUUCAUGAUAACCAUGUUUCUAAGACAGACAUGGGUCGUUUUAAGAGUAAUGUUUUCACAACUAUUUAUGUGUUUGAAUAUAAUUUGGAUGAUAUGUAUGAGAAAUUGAACUUAAAUUAUAAUU